GUUGGAUUUUUUUUGUGCAAUGGAAGAUUUUUUUUCUGCUAUUCACUUAAGCUAGAGCAGAUUCUGUGUCAGCUACUUUGAACAAUAGAACUCUUUUGAAAACACCAGCCAGCAGAACAUACUUGCGGCGCAUGCUUCAGUUUUGUGAAAUGAUUGGUUUUGUUUACUUUGGGUUGGAUCGGUGAUUCUGCUUGGGAAGAGACAAGAAGAACCCUGGAGGACAGAUCAGCUCGGCCUUCACUUCCCUCCAGAACAAACAGCUUCAUUUCUGCUAUUUAGAGACUUACUUCUCAGGCAGUGCUUCAAGAAACAGGAGGAACAAUUUAACCUUGAAAUACAAAAACAUUGUUUCACAUGUUUCCGCUGGACAUCUGAAAAUCAGAAGGAAGUACCCAGCAAAAUGGAAUCCACUACAAAAAGGAGAGGCAGAGGAAAGAAGAGGAGAGAAACAAAAAAAAAAAGGAAUGGACUGGCUUCUUUGAAUAAAUUGCUAAUCUUAAAGCAGUGUUUAUCAGCUGAAGAAAAAUAACAUUGUGUGCUAGACUUGUUGAUAAGACAAGACCAUAAUCAAGUGUGUCUUCAUUAGCUGAAGUUUAGACACAUUAGUAGCAAGGCAGACAAAAUAAAAU
rnacentral:lncRNA from 1 species